ensembl:lncRNA
CUCCUCCUGCCUGUAUUGUUUUCUAUCACACAAUGGGUUUAUUUCCUGAUGACAUCACAAUGUAUCAUAGUUCUUUAGUUGUUUAUUGUCUACUCCAUUAUGUUCUGAGCCUCAUGAAGGGGAGACCAUGUCUUAUUUGAUUAUGGUUGCACCCCAGGUUCUAGCACAGUCCCUAACUCAUGUGUAUUGUGUAUUUAAUGUAUUUUUGUUGAAUUGGUGCAUUAAUCAAAGAGGGCGUUUGUUUUGAACUACAAUACUGUUUUAUCCCAGGCAUAUGUUGUAAUGGACUAAUGAGCCACUAGGUGGUGCCAAGACCUCAUGUGGAAACAGCCUGCUUUGGAAAAACCUCAGAACUAAAAUGCUUUCAGUUGUGUGUGCCGUUGGGCUGGGGGCGUUUAUGAAGUCGCAGAUCAGUUAGCACUCCCUUUUUUGGGGCAGACCCAUGCUACUCACAUACUAGUUUGACAGGGCUCUGUGAUUUUAAAGAGAUGCCUAGAGAAGAAAGAACUUUAAAAGCUCUUAUCGAAAGCAUGAAUUCCAUCCCCCUUAUCCCCAUUAAGUUUGCCCCUCAUGACCAGCUGAAUGCCUCAGUGACAGGGAACUCAGUCCUUCACCCAGAGAUGCCGUCUCCCCUUUGGAGGUGAUGGACGAACUGCCCUUUCAGCCGCGACCUGAGCCCAGCUCCCCUCACCUUGACUCACAUCAGCUAACACUGAAAACCAGCCCGUUAUUUUUAGGAAGUCAGUUAUUAACUUUUUUGCUUUCUCUUCUCCAGGCUAAGCAAGCCUCAUUCCUUUGCUCUCCUUCUCCUAUUUCCAGCAUCUCACAGAGGACCUUAAAUUAUUUUUUGGACAAGACGUAAUUUGUUCUCAGAACACCCGUCCACACUGCGUGAGCCUCGGGCAGGGGCUGCUGGCUUUAGGGAGAAGCUCAAACAUUCUGGGUCACUGUGGGCCCUCAAGUCUUCAGCCUCCUCCUCCGUUGCUCCGCAGGAGUUAGCCGCUACUGCUCGGCUCAACAGCUCCCCUCUUGGCUUCCCCCAUGCUUGCAGCGCAGUUGGUCUGUUUCCUCAGUAAAACAGGAUAGGUUGGAGAACAGUCUUGCUCCUUAAAGUGCGGUCCUGCGACCAGCAGCAUCAGCAUUGGAAAUGUGGGAUGGCAGGCCCCACCCGGGACCUGAAAGGAGUCUGCAUUUGAACAAGAUCACCAGGGCGUUCGGAUCCACGGGAAAGCUACACAAGCAGUGGCCUGAGUCUGUGGUUUCUAAACCUGCUUAUCAUCAGAAGCUUCUGGGGAGCUUGCUAAAAACACAAAUUUCUGAGUAUCUGUGGUGUGGCCCUGAAAUCUGUAGUUUUUGUUAAGCUUCCUGUGUGAGUCCAACCCAGACCAUACAUGGGAUCGUGUUUGAGAAUCACCAGGAUAGUCAUCUUUGGUUUUUCUCACUUCUAACAUUCUGAUAUUUUUACCACUGACUUUUACAAAUUUGAAUGUCACUCUUUUGGGGUGUUAUGAAUGAGUGGGGCCUAAGUUGUUUGUUUGUCUUUUUAAACAGGCCUAGUUUCUGGUUGAUGAAUAUUCUGGUCAGGAGCUUGUCUUUCUUCCAACAUCUAAUAGAUACCCCUUUAAGUAACUUAUGGGUACUUGGCCGAGCCCUGCAAGCUGCCAUGGCCUCAUGCUUUGGGGCAU